rnacentral:rRNA from 1 species
GAUGAACGCUGGCGGCGUGCCUAAUACAUGCAAGUCGAGCGAACGGACGAGAAGCUUGCUUUUCUGAUGUUAGCGGCGGACGGGUGAGUAACACGUGGAUAACCUACCUAUAAGACUGGGAUAACUUCGGGAAACCGGAGCUAAUACCGGAUAAUAUUUUGAACCGCAUGGUUCAAAAGUGAAAGACGGUCUUGCUGUCACUUAUAGAUGGAUCCGCGCUGCAUUAGCUAGUUGGUAAGGUAACGGCUUACCAAGGCAACGAUGCAUAGCCGACCUGAGAGGGUGAUCGGCCACACUGGAGCUGAGACACGGUCCAGACUCCUACGGGAGGCAGCAGUAGGGAAUCUUCCGCAAUGGGCGAAAGCCUGACGGAGCAACGCCGCGUGAGUGAUGAAGGUCUUCGGAUCGUAAAUCUCUGUUAUUAGGGAAGAACAUAUGUGUAAGUAACUGUGCACAUCUUGACGGUACCUAAUCAGAAAGCCACGGCUAACUACGUG